rnacentral:rRNA from 1 species
AUUGAACGCUGGCGGCAGGCUUAACACAUGCAAGUCGAGCGGAGAUGAGGUGCUUGCACCUUAUCUUAGCGGCGGACGGGUGAGUAAUGCUUAGGUAUCUGCCUAUUAGUGGGGGACAACAUUCUGAAAGGAAUGCUAAUACCGCAUACGUCCUACGGGAGAAAGCAGGGGAUCUUCGGACCUUGCGCUAAUAGAUGAGCCUAAGUCGGAUUAGCUAGUUGGUGGGGUAAAGGCCUACCAAGGCGACGAUCUGUAGCGGGUCUGAGAGGAUGAUCCGCCACACUGGGACUGAGACACGGCCCAGACUCCUACGGGAGGCAGCAGUGGGGAAUAUUGGACAAUGGGGGGAACCCUGAUCCAGCCAUGCCGCGUGUGUGAAGAAGGCCUUAUGGUUGUAAAGCACUUUAAGCGAGGAGGAGGCUACUGAGACUAAUACUCUUGGAUAGUGGACGUUACUCGCAGAAUAAGCACCGGCUAACUCUGUGCCAGCCGCCGCAGUAACAC